UGCCCCCUGGUUUUCUGGGACCAAUCAGCUCCCUGGGUGCCGCCCCUCCCAGAACUCUCCAGACUCUUCUGGGAUUCGCUGGAGGAAACUGGAGUCCUAAGGGAAGGGGGGGAGAGGCGCCGGGAAGAGUCGUUGUUGACUCCGGCCACCCAGUCUCCGUUUCCCUGGCGAGCCGCCUGCCAAGUAGUUGGAUGUCGACCGGAAGGAUGAGCACUAGGCUUGUAAUAAGUAGGGCGGUGAGAGGUUCGUGGGGCUCAAAUAAGUUUGAUUGUUUAAAGUAGGAUUAGGGGGUACACGAUUCCGGGGAGACCCAAAUUACAGAACGAUCCGGAGUUUCUCUAAGAGGGUGGGGUAUCUGUGGCCCAAAGAGACGCUGAUUGGAGCCUGACGCUGAUGGAAGCAGCCGCGUUUGGGCCGGUUCGCGGAGGGGCCGGGCUGCCUGAGAAUUGCCUUGGCCAUCCCGGCGUUUUUCCCAUCUUAUUUUUAAAAUAGGAAGGACAAGGAAAGAGAUAAUGCAGUAUAGUUUUGGCGUCAUCUUUAGCCCUAUAUGGAUGGAAUAUCUGGGGAUGGGAAAAUUUGAAUUUUCAAAAGAAAAGUAAUCAGGAUUUCCUCACAAACCAGAUUACAUCCAGAAGCUUUGUUGGAGGCUGUUGCAUCAUGCAGGGGAGCUAAGUGAGACGAUGGUGGAUCCCACCAGAGUCAAGGAGCAGUAGAGUUGUGAGAUGCGGCCAAAUUUUGGUGUUAAGCUGACCAGUCCUAGACCCUCCCCAAGAUGCGAGUGCAGCUUUUUGCCAAGAUGGAUUCCGCUGCAGAGGCCUGUGGGGG